rnacentral:rRNA from 1 species
GAGUAAUGCAUAGGUAACGUGCCCCUUAGUCUGGGAUAGCCACUGGAAACGGUGAUUAAUACCGGAUACUCCUUCUCUCUUAAUGAGAGUUGGGAAAGUUUUCGCUAAGGGAUCGGCCUAUGUUGUAUCAGGUAGUUGGUGAGGUAAUGGCUCACCAAGCCUAUGACACAUAGCGGGUCUGAGAGGAUGAUCCGCCACACUGGUACUGAGACACGGACCAG